rnacentral:rRNA from 1 species
AUUGAACGCUGGCGGCAUGCCUAACACAUGCAAGUCGAACGGAAACGAUGCUAGCUUGCUAGCAGGCGUCGAGUGGCAGACGGGUGAGUAAUGUAUAGGGAUCUGCCUAGUAGUGGGGGACAACAUGUGGAAACGCAUGCUAAUACCGCAUACGCUCUACGGAGGAAAGUGGGGGACCUUUCGGGGCCUCAUGCUACUAGAUGAACCUAUAUUGGAUUAGCUUGUUGGUAAGGUAAUGGCUUACCAAGGCGACGAUCCAUAGCUGGUUUGAGAGAAUGAUCAGCCACACUGGGACUGAGACACGGCCCAGACUCCUACGGGAGGCAGCAGUGGGGAAUAUUGCACAAUGGACGAAAGUCUGAUGCAGCAAUGCCGCGUGUGUGAAGAAGGCCUUAGGGUUGUAAAGCACUUUCAGACGUGAGGAAAAGUAAUAAUUUAAUAAAUUAUUACCUUGACGUUAACGUCAGAAGAAGGACCGGCUAACUCCGUGCCAGCAGCCGCGGUAAUACGGAGGGUCCAAGCGUUAAUCGGAAUUACUGGGCGUAAAGCGCGCGUAGGCGGAUAUUUAAGUCAGAUGUGAAAUCCCUGGGCUCAACCUAGGAACUGCAUUUGAUACUGGAUAUCUAGAGUAUGGUAGAGGUGAGUGGAAUUUCAGGUGUAGCGGUGAAAUGCGUAGAGAUCUGAAGGAACAUCAGUGGCGAAGGCGACUCACUGGGCCAUUACUGACGCUGAGGUGCGAAAGCGUGGGUAGCAAACAGGAUUAGAUACCCUGGUAGUCCACGCCCUAAACGAUGUCAACUAGGUGUAUGGGAGUUUAACUCCUGUGUAUCGAAGCUAACGCGAUAAGUU